GAGGGGUGUGUGUGUGUGUGAGAGAGAGAGUGUGAGAGAGAGAGAGAGAGAGAGAGAGAGAGAGAGAGUAUCGCUCGCGCUGUUCAGGGAUCACACUGAUUGAGCUUGCGCCGGGCUGCAGAUGGGUCUGUGCUGAUUUGAGGAGCAGAAUGGGGAAAUGGCAGAUAUCGAUGGACCCAGUGCAGGAGUGGGGUGAGGAGGUGGAGGAUGGUGUUGUGUACGGAGUGGCGCUACACCGCAUAUGUGAUCUUGAGGAUCCCACUGACCCUGUCCCCUCCUCUGAGCCCUGUCCCCAAAGCUGUGUACAGUAUCGGACGCUGAAGGUCCGGCGGCUCAAGGCAGCCACUCUGCAGAGGUUGGUCAGCGAGCUGGUCCAACCGGAGUGCAGCGACCCGGAUUACCCCCGAAUCUUUCUGUCCACCUAUAGAGCCUUCACCUGCACCACCUCACUCGUACAGCUGCUCUUCCAGAGGGAAGACUCCAUCACUAACCUGGACAGCAGUGUGUGUGUGAGGAGGUGAGUUUUGGAAACAGUUGAAUUAUGAGUUUCCAGCCCAUAAUAAUACUAUGACUUUUAUUUCCCCCAAUAGAACCUUUACUUUAUGUGGGUAUGCAUUAUGCCUAAAGCACUGGAACGUUAAUGAAAUGUUAAGAAAAAAAUGGACCAAAACUUUAUAACCAUUCAACAGAUGAAGUAAACAAAGUUGAUAAUAUUAUUAACAGUAGCGCAUUUAAAGUGUAUGUUAAAAUGUAAAAAAGCCCAUCUGUAUCUGUAUCUGUUCUGCAUUUCUGAUAGAACCCUCUAGGAAAGUGUAGACUAUUUUGUGUUGUUAUUUACUGUAAAGCUUUAAAAGUAUUUUUUGUAUAAUUGUUUACAGUUUGUUUAGAAUUCUAGUAGUACUUAGUAGUAGUUAUUUAGUUUAAAUUGCUUGCAACAGACAUUAGCAUGUAUUUAAGCAUGAAUAAGGAACAAAUAUAUGAAUAUUAUUUGGUAUAUCAGAGUACAAACAUUUACUGGAUUAAUGAGCAGCUGUAGUUUAUUGGCUGAGGUCCCAUCCCUCCUUGAAAUUAAAAUUCUUAUUGGUUUGACUGUUAACCCACCGGCAGCUUAAAAAUAUUCACAUUGAUUCUGCUGCAAUUAUAUUUUCUCCCAGUUCUAUUAAUAUGCCGCUGACUUAAUUAAUAAUGGUUAUAACUGAAAACAUGGAUUGUUAAUGUGGGCGGCGGGUCAGAUUGGAACCUUUAUUAGACUUUUAAGCAGAAGCAUUUAAUCCCAUUAAAAUCUGGAUAUUUGAUACAUGUUUUACACACCAGCAGCUUGUGAGAAGUCCCGGUACGCAGGAAAAAGUCCCGGUAGAAGUGCCGGUACUGCGUACUGGUGAGUACCGCUCUGCUUCGAGCACUGCUGCUUACUGUAAAUCAGAACAUGAAUUAGUUUCUA
rnacentral:lncRNA from 1 species